GUUUGUUAUGGAAAUAUUUAUAGUCUAGCCUGCUCACUGAUGUAAUAUUAAAUAGCCGCGGUAUCUUGACCGUGCAAAGGUAGCAUAAUCAUUAGUUUUUUAAUUGAAAACUUGUAUGAAUGGUUGGACAAAGAAGAAACUGUCUCUUUUGUUAAAAUUGAAUUUAACUUUUAAGUGAAAAGGCUUAAAUUUCUCAAAGGGACGAUAAGACCCUAUAAAGCUUUAUAAAUUAAAGAUUUUUGUAUAUUUUUAUAUAUUAACAAUUUUCUAAAAUUUUAUUUGGUUGGGGCGACAAUAGUAUAAUUAGAAUAACUGCUUUAAAUUAAUACAAAAAUAUUUGGAAUUAAAAUUAGUUGAUCCUUUAUAGAGAUUCUAAGAUCAAGUUACUUUAGGGAUAACAGCGUUAUUUUUCCUGAGAGUUCUUAUCAAAGGAAAAGUUUGCGACCUCGAUGUUGAAUUAAAAUGUCUUUAUAGUGCAGCAGCUAUAAGAGAAGGUCUGUUCGACCUUUAAUAUUUUACAUGAU
rnacentral:rRNA from 1 species